CUUGCACAAUGGGCGCAAGCCUGGUGCAGCAACGCCGCGUGCGCGAUGAAGGCCUUCGGGUCGUAAAGCGCUUUUCUGGAGGAUGAGCAAGGACAGUACUCCAGGAAUAAGUCUCGGCUAACUACGUGCCAGCAGCCGCGGUAAAACGUAGGAGACAAGCGUUAUCCGAAUUUACUGGGCGUAAAGCGCGUGCAGGUGGUUAGGUAAGUGGCGUGUGAAAUCUCCUGGCUCAACUGGGAGAGGCUGCGCCAAACUGCCUGACUAGAGGGCGGUAGAGGGAGGUGGAAUUCCCGGUGUAGUGGUGAAAUGCGUAGAUAUCGGGAGGAACACCUGUGGCGAAAGCGGCCUCCUGGACCGUACCUGACGCUCAGACGCGAAAGCUAGGGGAGUGAACGGGAUUAGAAACCCCGGUAAUCCUAGCCGUAAACGAUGUGGACUGGGUGUCGGUGGGGUAAAAGCCAUCGGUGCCGAAGUCAACGCGAUAAGUCCACCGCCUGGGGACUACGGCCGCAAGGUUA
rnacentral:rRNA from 1 species